UUAAGCGACUAAGCGUACACGGUGGAUGCCCUGGCAGUCAGAGGCGAUGAAGGACGUGCUAAUCUGCGAUAAGCGUCGGUAAGGUGAUAUGAACCGUUAUAACCGGCGAUUUCCGAAUGGGGAAACCCAGUGUGAUUCGUCACACUAUCAUUAACUGAAUCCAUAGGUUAAUGAGGCGAACCGGGGGAACUGAAACAUCUAAGUACCCCGAGGAAAAGAAAUCAACCGAGAUUCCCCCAGUAGCGGCGAGCGAACGGGGAGCAGCCCAGAGCCUGAAUCAGUGUGUGUGUUAGUGGAAGCGUCUGGAAAGGCGCGCGAUACAGGGUGACAGCCCCGUACACAAAAAUGCACAUGCUGUGAGCUCGAUGAGUAGGGCGGGACACGUGGUAUCCUGUCUGAAUAUGGGGGGACCAUCCUCCAAGGCUAAAUACUCCUGACUGACCGAUAGUGAACCAGUACCGUGAGGGAAAGGCGAAAAGAACCCCGGCGAGGGGAGUGAAAAAGAACCUGAAACCGUGUACGUACAAGCAGUGGGAGCCUCUUUAUGGGGUGACUGCGUACCUUUUGUAUAAUGGGUCAGCGACUUAUAUUCUGUAGCAAGGUUAACCGAAUAGGGGAGCCGAAGGGAAACCGAGUCUUAACUGGGCGUUAAGUUGCAGGGUAUAGACCCGAAACCCGGUGAUCUAGCCAUGGGCAGGUUGAAGGUUGGGUAACACUAACUGGAGGACCGAACCGACUAAUGUUGAAAAAUUAGCGGAUGACUUGUGGCUGGGGGUGAAAGGCCAAUCAAACCGGGAGAUAGCUGGUUCUCCCCGAAAGCUAUUUAGGUAGCGCCUCGUGAAUUCAUCUCCGGGGGUAGAGCACUGUUUCGGCAAGGGGGUCAUCCCGACUUACCAACCCGAUGCAAACUGCGAAUACCGGAGAAUGUUAUCACGGGAGACACACGGCGGGUGCUAACGUCCGUCGUGAAGAGGGAAACAACCCAGACCGCCAGCUAAGGUCCCAAAGUCAUGGUUAAGUGGGAAACGAUGUGGGAAGGCCCAGACAGCCAGGAUGUUGGCUUAGAAGCAGCCAUCAUUUAAAGAAAGCGUAAUAGCUCACUGGUCGAGUCGGCCUGCGCGGAAGAUGUAACGGGGCUAAACCAUGCACCGAAGCUGCGGCAGCGACGCUUAUGCGUUGUUGGGUAGGGGAGCGUUCUGUAAGCCUGCGAAGGUGUACUGUGAGGUAUGCUGGAGGUAUCAGAAGUGCGAAUGCUGACAUAAGUAACGAUAAAGCGGGUGAAAAGCCCGCUCGCCGGAAGACCAAGGGUUCCUGUCCAACGUUAAUCGGGGCAGGGUGAGUCGACCCCUAAGGCGAGGCCGAAAGGCGUAGUCGAUGGGAAACAGGUUAAUAUUCCUGUACUUGGUGUUACUGCGAAGGGGGGACGGAGAAGGCUAUGUUGGCCGGGCGACGGUUGUCCCGGUUUAAGCGUGUAGGCUGGUUUUCCAGGCAAAUCCGGAAAAUCAAGGCUGAGGCGUGAUGACGAGGCACUACGGUGCUGAAGCAACAAAUGCCCUGCUUCCAGGAAAAGCCUCUAAGCAUCAGGUAACAUCAAAUCGUACCCCAAACCGACACAGGUGGUCAGGUAGAGAAUACCAAGGCGCUUGAGAGAACUCGGGUGAAGGAACUAGGCAAAAUGGUGCCGUAACUUCGGGAGAAGGCACGCUGAUAUGUAGGUGAAGUCCCUCGCGGAUGGAGCUGAAAUCAGUCGAAGAUACCAGCUGGCUGCAACUGUUUAUUAAAAACACAGCACUGUGCAAACACGAAAGUGGACGUAUACGGUGUGACGCCUGCCCGGUGCCGGAAGGUUAAUUGAUGGGGUUAGCGGUAACGCGAAGCUCUUGAUCGAAGCCCCGGUAAACGGCGGCCGUAACUAUAACGGUCCUAAGGUAGCGAAAUUCCUUGUCGGGUAAGUUCCGACCUGCACGAAUGGCGUAAUGAUGGCCAGGCUGUCUCCACCCGAGACUCAGUGAAAUUGAACUCGCUGUGAAGAUGCAGUGUACCCGCGGCAAGACGGAAAGACCCCGUGAACCUUUACUAUAGCUUGACACUGAACAUUGAGCCUUGAUGUGUAGGAUAGGUGGGAGGCUUUGAAGUGUGGACGCCAGUCUGCAUGGAGCCGACCUUGAAAUACCACCCUUUAAUGUUUGAUGUUCUAACGUUGGCCCCUAAUCGGGGUUGCGGACAGUGUCUGGUGGGUAGUUUGACUGGGGCGGUCUCCUCCUAAAGAGUAACGGAGGAGCACGAAGGUUGGCUAAUCCUGGUCGGACAUCAGGAGGUUAGUGCAAUGGCAUAAGCCAGCUUGACUGCGAGCGUGACGGCGCGAGCAGGUGCGAAAGCAGGUCAUAGUGAUCCGGUGGUUCUGAAUGGAAGGGCCAUCGCUCAACGGAUAAAAGGUACUCCGGGGAUAACAGGCUGAUACCGCCCAAGAGUUCAUAUCGACGGCGGUGUUUGGCACCUCGAUGUCGGCUCAUCACAUCCUGGGGCUGAAGUAGGUCCCAAGGGUAUGGCUGUUCGCCAUUUAAAGUGGUACGCGAGCUGGGUUUAGAACGUCGUGAGACAGUUCGGUCCCUAUCUGCCGUGGGCGCUGGAGAACUGAGGGGGGCUGCUCCUAGUACGAGAGGACCGGAGUGGACGCAUCACUGGUGUUCGGGUUGUCAUGCCAAUGGCACUGCCCGGUAGCUAAAUGCGGAAGAGAUAAGUGCUGAAAGCAUCUAAGCACGAAACUUGCCCCGAGAUGAGUUCUCCCUGACUCCCUGAGAGUCCUGAAGGAACGUUGAAGACGACGACGUUGAUAGGCCGGGUGUGUAAGCGCAGCGAUGCGUUGAGCUAACCGGUACUAAUGAACCGUGAGGCUUAACCUU
rnacentral:rRNA from 1 species